GUUUCGAGGUUAGUGUAUGUAAAAUAUUACUGUUCUGGAGUCUUUUUAUGACUCCUUUAGCUACAUUAUCUUCACGAUAAAGAGAUUUGCAGUGACUCCCAGAUCAAUGCAGAACCUUCAAGCAUCUGGAAAUUGUUUCCAAGGAUGAACCAAACUGGCGCAGCGCCACAAUUCUCUUCCCGAUGUCUCGACUGAUGACCUCUGACCUUCCAGUCAUGUCAAACCAGAGAGCAGAGUGUUUCAGACGUGUUGUGAAGUCAAACAUCAACAAUCCUUCAGGCACCUUCAACUCACCAGUUUUGACAGGAUUAGUCCUCCAUAAAGGGACGCAGGAAUGGACCAUCAGCUUCUCCUACAAGAAAAGAAAAUCUGAGAUCUCCAAGAACCACUGGACUCAGAAAAGGAGGCACCCGAGCCGUGAAACGGUGACCUCAUCUACUUAGAGAAGAUGUUGGCUUGAUGGAUGGAUGGAGAGAUGAGCAGAAGCAAGUCGACGUUCUCUUUAACCUAAGGGACCUCCGGAGAGCGGCUCCCCAGGGAUCAGCUGUAACUAACAGCAGCAGCCUUGCAGAAAUCACCUGAGCAACGCAGGAUGAAAGUUAAAGCCGUCAUGAAACUGCUCACCCUCUUCAAGCAUUUGGUAUGCCGAGCAAGAGGACAGGAGCGACCUUUGACUCCGGGGGAACUGUGAGCCGCCACCGUUCUUCUCCAAGCGGCGUCCCAUCAGCUUCAGCCGAGCGAGUCUAAGCCGUGAGGACAGAGCGUUGAGGUGAGGCGGACCGCAGAGGUGUGAAAUG